AGUGAACGCUGGCGGUAGGCCUAACACAUGCAAGUCGAACGGCAGCACAGUAAGAGCUUGCUCUUACGGGUGGCGAGUGGCGGACGGGUGAGGAAUACAUCGGAAUCUACUUUUUCGUGGGGGAUAACGUAGGGAAACUUACGCUAAUACCGCAUACGACCUACGGGUGAAAGCAGGGGAUCUUCGGACCUUGCGCGAUUGAAUGAGCCGAUGUCGGAUUAGCUUGUUGGCGGGGUAAAGGCCCACCAAGGCGACGAUCCGUAGCUGGUCUGAGAGGAUGAUCAGCCACACUGGAACUGAGACACGGUCCAGACUCCUACGGGAGGCAGCAGUGGGGAAUAUUGGACAAUGGGCGCAAGCCUGAUCCAGCCAUACCGCGUGGGUGAAGAAGGCCUUCGGGUUGUAAAGCCCUUUUGUUGGGAAAUAAAAGCAGCAGGUUAAUACCCCGCUGUUCUGACGGUACCCAAAGAAUAAGCACCGGCUAACUUCGU
rnacentral:rRNA from 1 species